UACAGAGGGGGCAAGCGUUGUUCGGAAUUACUGGGCGUAAAGGGCGCGUAGGCGGCCUUCUAAGUCGAACGUGAAAUCCCUGGGCUCAACCCAGGAACUGCGUCCGAUACUGGAAGGCUUGAAUCCGGGAGAGGGAUGCGGAAUUCCAGGUGUAGCGGUGAAAUGCGUAGAUAUCUGGAGGAACACCGGUGGCGAAGGCGGCGUUCUGGACUGCAUCUGACACUGAAAGACGAAAGCCAGGGGAGCAAACGGG
rnacentral:rRNA from 1 species